rnacentral:rRNA from 1 species
CCUACGGGGGGCUGCAGUGAGGAAUAUUGGUCAAUGGCCGUAAGGCUGAACCAGCCAAGUAGCGUGAGGGAAGACUGCCCUAUGGGUUGUAAACCUCUUUUAUGAGGGGAUAAAGGGGACCACGUGUGGAGGUUUGCAGGUACCGCAUGAAUAAGGACAGGCUAAUGCCGGGCCAGCAGCCGCGGUAAUACGGACGGUCCGGGCGUUAUCCGGAUUUAUUGGGUUUAAAGGGAGCGUAGGCCGGUCUUUAAGCGUGCCGUGAAAUUUUGUGGCUCAACCAUGAGAGUGCGGCGCGACCUGGAGACCUUGAUUGCGCGACAGGCCGGCGGAAUUCGUGGUGUAGCGGU